GCCAGGUGUUCAGGCGUAUGCCUGUAAUCCCUGCUACUUGGGAGGCUGAGGGAGGGAGAUUGCAAGACCAGCCAAAACAAUUUAGUGAGAUCCUGUCUCAA
rnacentral:sRNA from 1 species